GGCUGAAAGGGAGAGGGUGGUGGGUGGGGCCUGGGCUGAUAUCUAAUGAAAAUUUAAACCCCAGCUAUGGCUAUUACAAAGAAAAGAAAAGUGGCUGAUGAUAAGCAUGUAGCUCCAAAGGACAAUGUAUAUAAAAAUAUGCAAGAAUCAAAGGAAACCCACAUAUCCGAUCACCUGGAUGAAAUUGUUGCUGCUGUCAGCAUUACACCUAGAAAGAAGAUCCAAAACAAGCUGCCUCAGACAGCACUAUUCCAGCCUCCUCGAGAGAAACUCCACCUCUGUGAAGAGAAAGCGAAGUCUUAUUCUAGCAGUCACGAAUAUGAACAGGCUGUCCACGAGCUUGUACGCUGCAUGGCGCUGACGAGAAUUUGCUAUGGUGACUCACACUGGAAACUAGCAGAGGCACAUGUUAAUCUGGCCCAAGGCUACCUCCAGCUGAAAGGACUGUCCCUGCAAGCAAAACAACAUGCAGAAAAAGCCAAAGAAAUCCUCACCAACUCCAUCGUGCCUCCCUAUAACGACAAUACAGAUGUUUUCAAGUGUUCGAUUGAGCUAUUCCAUACCAUGGGGAGAGCCUUACUCUCCCUUCAAAAGUUUAAAGAAGCUUCCGAGAAUUUGACAAAGGCAGAGACACUUGCAAAGGAGCUGCUGCAAUGUGGAAGGAUUGUAAAGGAGGAAUGGAUAGAAAUUCAAGCACGGAUCAAAUUGUCAUUUGCACAGAUGUAUCAAAGUCAGAAGAAAUCAAAAGAAGCCCUGCCCCACUAUCAAGAGGCUUUAGAAUACACUGAGAUCAGUCGAGGUGAAAAAAGUCUUGAAUGUGUACCAAUAUUGAAGGAAUUGGCAGGUGUAGAGCGAGCCCUGGGAGUUCAUGACGCAUCCAUCAACCAUUUUCUACAGGCGCAUCACAUCGUGCUGAGCAGAAACCCCUCUCAAGAAGAGGCAGCAGUCUCUGCACAUUUGGUCGCCCGCGCUGCCGUCGCUUCCGGGGGGAUCGAACACCACGAUGUGGCCAAGCAGUAUUUUCAAGAGAGCAUGGCUAAUCUUAAGGAUGCUGAAGGGAUGGGAAAAGCCAAAUUUCUUUCAAUUCAAGAUGAUUAUUGCCAUUUUCUACAAGUCACCGGACAAAAAGAGAGAGCAAUCUCCAUCCUGAGAGAGUCCCUGGAAGCCAAAGUGGCAGUGUUUGGUGACCUCAGCCCGGAGGUGGCAGAGACAUACCGGCUGUUAGGUGGGGCCGACCUGGCACAGGGGAACCAGAGUGGGGCCCACAAGAAACUAAAGAAGUUGUCCUGGUGAAAGAUGGUGGUAGCUUGCUCCAAGACAGUGGCCAGGGGCUGGAGCAAGGUCGUGGGGGAGUCGAGGGAUGCUGAUAAGGAUGUAGAACCCACGGCACGUGGCAACUCAGAGGAAUGACUGCUAAGGGAAGCAGUGCACAGCGAGCAGCACUCUUGCGGCUACCAAACCUGCCUAGAUUUUGAGGGCGAGGCUUCGUGACACGGCACCCCCCGCGAAGCGUCCUUACCAGAGGUGUCAGUUGCUGACAGAUCCCUGGACCCUGUGGUCCAACCGUGUCUUCAGGCUCCGUAUAAGAACUUCCUCAGUUGAACUGUUUGUCCUCUUGUCUGAUCGUUCAUUCAUCUAGCAAAUAUCGCCCCUACUCACGUGCCAGGGAAUGUUCCGGAACCUGGGGCACGAAGGCGAGCAACACCAAUGUGGCCCCUCUGGGGACAGCUUGCAGGCCAGUGUGGAAGCGGGUGCUACCUCUUGUCUUUCUGCAGGGGGUGGAAAGCUUCUUGUUUGGUAUUUAAGGAAUAAUAGAAACACAAAUGACUUCUCCCAACCCCUGCAGAUAAAAUCAAAGAGCGUAACAGCAAUAUAACAGUUCCCCAAAAUUCAUCUGGAUCCUGGAAAUUCCAGGGUUUUUGUCCACUUAGAGAAAAAUGAGAAGCACCCUGUACAGGCUGAUUUCAAAUAGGAGUGCACUGGCCUUGGAAGAAGAAUCUGGAGAGCACAAAAUACCUUUUAUUUAUGCUAUAGAAUAUUCCACCACCGGGAUUUGGGAUUCUUCACUUAGUUCAGAGAGUUGUUUAAAAUGCCGGGCUCCCGGUAGGUUUAAAUAACAUUUAUUGACUUUGUCUCUGACAGUGUCCAUAUUUUUAACAAAAGAAUCGAAAUAACCUGUUUCACACAAAAAUGCUUAAGCAAAUUUAGCUAAGAGCAGCAGAGCACUGAAAAAUUCAAUUUAUGUUUCUUAGGUAAAUACACAACUAUGUAAAACAUUUCCUAGUAAGGUCAGUAAGGGGGUUAUUUCACUAUUUAAAAUUUUCUGAAUCAGGCUCCUGGCUCUGAGCUGUCAGCACAGAGCUGACGCCAGGCUCGAACCCACAAACUGCGAGAUCAUGACCUGAGCUGAAGUCGAACGCUUAACUGACUGAGGCACCCGGGCGCCCCUCACUAUUUUAAAAAGGUAGCUCUUGAAAACUAUUCCAGCUAGUAGGUGAACCAUUCUUUCCUGAUGUGGUGCCUGGUAUGGUGUCCCUGGGCACUGUCAUCUAAAGGAGAUUAGGUAGGGGCUGAGGACCCAUUUCCCUCUCCUAGUUGGCAUCCCUUUACAUCUCUUCUUGCUUCAGCUAGAACUGGGGGCAAAUCUCCUUAAGGAGGAUAAGUAGCCUUAAAAAAAAACAAAAUCUAUUAAUGCCAGGAAGAGAAGAAUCUUGACUGCCAGGGUCUAGGGAGUAGGGACGGGGAUGGGCUGACCUCUCUCUGGGCCUGAUUAUUGAUUAUGACCUUCUCUCCUACCUCCAGUCUCCCUACACACAUUUUCCCCAGGGACAAUGACCAGCACACAAGGUCUGGAAUGGAGGUGGUUAGUAGAACCAGUGAGAAUUGGUAUAAGCACCGUCAAUUGCCCUGUCCUUGUACCUAGAAAUCUGAAAAAGUUAGCUAAUAGUAUGUUUUUCCCUAGAGAAUGAGGGGCCAGAGAGAAGCUUUAGUAACCCAAAGGGUAGGAUGGAUAUCCCUCCUGAGUUCUGGAUUUCGGAGUCCCUCUGUUAAGGCAGGGUAAACCGAGACCUCAGACCAUCUCAAAUAAUGAUUAUAAUGUCAGUAAAAUGCUAAUGUCUCAGUGAAUGAACUAACGCCGAGACAUCAGCUCAUCUCAAAAUGAGCUGCAAGGGAGGUACUCGUAGAUAUGUAAACAGAGAAGGCAGAUGAGUUUAAAAUGAGACCUGAUCUUUCACACGGAGUUAAGGUAUUUCUGGCCAUGUAGGGGAAAAUGAAGUCUGUCCUGGCAAGAACGUUAGCCCUGGACAGCGGCCUCUCACUGCCAAGCAUGAAUGAGGGGAAAGCCUGCUUGCUUCCUGUUUUCUGUCCCUGCCUGAGCACCUUCCUUGCUGGACCCUGCCUGGAGACGCCCCCAGGCUUCCAGCAGCUGGGAGCCACGUGGGAGAGGAGGGCGGGAAGAGUUUACAUCAAGUGUCCUGGGUGUUGGAAACCUGUCCCCAAAAGCAACACAGAACUUUCUCAGAGUUCCUUAAGUUUCCCAAGUUCACAGCAGUUUAUCCAUGGAUUAAAGCAGAGCUGGCCCAAACCCAUGGAAAGAGCAGCAGGCCAGGCCAGGGCCCCCAGUGUGGAUUCCGAAAGCCUGUGGCUUAUUUGGG